rnacentral:tRNA from 1 species
AAGGAGAGGAGAUUUUAACUCCGACCACUAGCUCCCAAAGCUAGUAUUCUAAAUUAAACUAUUCCUUGAC